rnacentral:rRNA from 1 species
UACGAAGGGGGCUAGCGUUGCUCGGAAUUACUGGGCGUAAAGGGAGCGUAGGCGGAUAGUUUAGUCAGAGGUGAAAGCCCAGGGCUCAACCUUGGAACUGCCUUUGAUACUGGCUAUCUUGAGUAUGGGAGAGGUGAGUGGAACUCCGAGUGUAGAGGUGAAAUUCGUAGAUAUUAGGAAGAACACCAGUGGCGAAGGCGGCUCACUGGUCCGGUACUGACGCUGAGGUGCGAAAGCGUGGGGAGCAAACAGG